UACGGGGGGGGUAAGCGUUGUUCGGAAUUACUGGGCGUAAAGGGCUCGUAGGCGGCCAACUAAGUCAGACGUGAAAUCCCUCAGCUUAACUGGGGAACUGCGUCUGAUACUGGAUGGCUUGGAUUCGGGAGAGGGAUGCAGAAUUCCAGGUGUAGCGGUGAAAUGCGUAGAUAUCUGGAGGAAUACCGGUGGCGAAGGCGGCAUCCUGGACCGAGAUUGACGCUGAACGGCGAAAGCUAGGGGAGCAAACGGG
rnacentral:rRNA from 1 species